AUUGAACGCUGGCGGCAUGCCUUACACAUGCAAGUCGAACGGCAGCACGGGUGCUUGCACCUGGUGGCGAGUGGCGAACGGGUGAGUAAUACAUCGGAACAUGUCCUGUAGUGGGGGAUAGCCCGGCGAAAGCCGGAUUAAUACCGCAUACGAUCUACGGAUGAAAGCGGGGGACCUUCGGGCCUCGCGCUAUAGGGUUGGCCGAUGGCUGAUUAGCUAGUUGGUGGGGUAAAGGCCUACCAAGGCGACGAUCAGUAGCUGGUCUGAGAGGACGACCAGCCACACUGGGACUGAGACACGGCCCAGACUCCUACGGGAGGCAGCAGUGGGGAAUUUUGGACAAUGGGCGAAAGCCUGAUCCAGCAAUGCCGCGUGUGUGAAGAAGGCCUUCGGGUUGUAAAGCACUUUUGUCCGGAAAGAAAUCCUUGGCUCUAAUACAGUCGGGGGAUGACGGUACCGGAAGAAUAAGCGCCGGCUAACUACGUG
rnacentral:rRNA from 1 species